ensembl:lncRNA
CUGUUUGCAAGCUUAUUUGCUUCUGUGUUGAUUCAUAAGCAGGAGAAGAUAAUUCAUUUCUGCAUAUCUGCUAGACUGGACAAAUCAAGGUGACAAUCCGUGGUUAGCUCUGGCGGGCCCUUUGUCCUACUGCUGUUGUGAAUGGAAGCACAAUGGAAGCAAAGUGAAUAUAUAACAGUCCAGCUGCCUUGUUGUGACAGCCCAGUCCCACCAUUGCAGUGUGUCAGCUCAUGUUUGUGUACCGGUAGCCAAUCCAUAAGAUGACAAUGCAAAUUGUGUGAAAAGUCUUCUAUAAGAUAACAAAUCAUGUUGGGGGUUGAAGUAUGGGGAGGAGAGUAGAAGGGGAGGUUGGACACAUGUCUUAAGAAAAAUAAUGACCCGUAAAAGGUUAUAUUUUUGGUACAGUGAUUACAUUCAAAUGCAGGACCAUCAUCCCAAUUCUGGCAUGUGUCUCAAAGACGCAGGCGAAGCCUUCCAGCAAGUUCAAUGGUGGGAGUCUCUCCCUGCUCUUCCUGCACAAUCAUUUCCCAUUGAGGAAGAAUAUGAAAAUGAUGCACAGAUGAGGGAGGCAUACUAUAAGACCACUUCUUACCUUUCGUUUCCCGGAGCCAAUCUGAAUGAAGACCCAGAGAGAGAAGGGAAAGAGAAGCUGACAAAAACAGACAAUGGGAGAAAAGAAGUGAGCACCAAGAGCAUCCUGGGAUGAAAAUGAGGAAGGCUGGAGAUUCGUCAUUGUCAUUUUCUGUUGUAUUUUAAAUCUCAGAGCUCUUAUGGUGGGAGUAUAUGUGCUGUUUUAUAAUAGCUUAGAGAAAAUUUUUCAUUGGAUUUUUUAGUCCAUUUAUUCCUUAGCACUUAAAAAAUUCACAGGCAAAAAUCAAACAUGCAAGCAAAUCCCAAACUCUCUAUAUGUACAAUGGUAGAUUCUAAUUAUUUUUCAAAUUUGUGCAGAUGUUGUAGUUAUGCAGUUGCUGCGUAUUUGUAUUUUUCUUUUUUAUUAAAUACAUAUUAACUAGUCUGCCUGAUUUAUGAUUGUUUUAUUUAGCUUUCUUUACUCCUUGUUUGUACUUUGGGCCUGAAGUUUUAGAGGAUGAUCUGACAAAAGUGUAUUUCAAUCUGGGAGAAGUGAUCAUUAGUCAGUGACCCUGAUUGAUCAUUGAUCAUUAACCAUGGAUUAGCCAUGGGAUGAUUUGUCCUAGAGGAUGAGGUUUUAGCCCCUAUCAUUGUCACUCUAUCUUAUGUGGGGCUUAGAAUCUCAUCAAAAUUUUCUUUGAUGCUUCUGGACUACCAUUAUCCAUUUGCUCAGAAUGUGUCAGUCCCAGCCCAGUGAUGCCUAACUAGCAGCAUUAUUGGGUCACUGCACAUAGUUUUGUAAUUAAUUCAUUUAAAAAUAAACUGUCCUUGAAUUAUACUGACUUGUGUCAUCCAUUUCCUGAAGAAAUUCUGGUUGAUAUACCUAGUCAAUAAUUAGGUGUGAGACCAGCCUCUAAAAAGGGACUCUAGUUGGAUACCUUACAGAUACUGGAUUUCCAGUGCCUGUGCUCCACUAAUUUCUUGUAUUAAAGAAAACUGGUAGAGAUAACUUUUCAAAGAAAACAAAAGGAACAUAUUUGCUUCCUUGAAGAGUCCUUGGGGAAGGCAGAUAGGUCUGGUGGGGAUUUGCAACAUUCUGCAUAAUGCUGUUAGCCUCUCUCUCUAAGAGGGCCUGGCACGCAGUCCAUGCCAGAUGUAUUCUGUAUUCUCCUGAUCCAUUUUUUCUUCCUUUUACACCUUGCUUUCUGCAUAUGAAGGCUGAAUCUCGUGGACUACAUCAACUGGCUCUGCACAGGCUAUUAGUUGGGUUCAGCCAAUGGGGAAGCUCGGCAAGAGAAAAAGGAAAAAGAAAUGAGGUCAGGGCAAAUAUUGCCCUGGUUUCCUAAAUAAGGUGUCAUCUCAGGCUGACCAUGUCCCUUCAUGGAAAAUCACUUCUCUCCGGAUUCCUUUUGUAUGUAACUAUUCUGUAUUUCAGUAAUUUCUCCCAUCUGUCAUCCCUCAAGACUAGGGGCAAUAAAAGCCCACCUGCUGUUACCCCUCUGUUCCUCAGCCAUACUUUGUGAAUUCCCUAUACCCUGCACACACCUUUGUGAUUAAUUCAGAUGAAAAUAAACUCUCCUUGAAUUAUGCUAACGUUUGAG